rnacentral:sRNA from 1 species
GCUGGGCAUAGUGGUGUGUGCCUGUAAUUCCAGCAAUUUAGGAGGCUGAGGCAGGAGGAUCACAAGUUCCAGGCCAGCCUCAG